UACGGAGGGUGCGAGCGUUGUCCGGAAUCACUGGGCGUAAAGGGCGCGUAGGCGGCGCGGAUAGUCGGCGGUGAAAGCCCGGAGCUCAACUCCGGGUCGGCCGUCGAUACUUCCGGGCUUGAGCACUGUAGAGGCAGAUGGAAUUCCGGGUGUAGCGGUGGAAUGCGUAGAGAUCGGAAGAACACCGGUGGCGAAGGCGGUCUGCUGGGCAGUUGCUGACGCUGG
rnacentral:rRNA from 1 species